GUCUAAGGCCACACCACCCUGAACUCGUCCCAUCUUGUCUGAUGUUGAAAGCUAAGCAGGGUCGGGCCUGGUCAGUACUUGGAUGGGAGAAGGGGCUGGGGAGGCU
ensembl:rRNA 5S_rRNA 5S ribosomal RNA